rnacentral:rRNA from 1 species
CCCUUAGAUGUUCUGGGCUGCACGCGCGCUACACUGACGCACGCAACAGGUGCCUGCUCCGAGAGGACUGGGUAAUCAUUUGAGUGUGCGUCGUGAUGGGGAUAGAAUAUUGUAAUUAUUACUCUUCAACGAGGAAUUCCUAGUAAGCGCAAGUCAGCAGCUUGCGCUGAUUACGUCCCUGCCCUUUGUACACACCGCCCGUCGCUCCUACCGAUGAGCGUUUUGGCGAAGACGGUUUGAGUAGCUGCGUAAUUUCGUGUUGUUGACUCCGGCAGUUUGAGCCUUCACGUUUAGAGGAAGGAGAAGUCGUAACA